GACGAACGCUGGCGGCGUGCCUAAUACAUGCAAGUCGAACGCUUCUUUCCUCCCGAGUGCUUGCCCUCAAUUGGAAAGAGGAGUGGCGGACGGGUGAGUAACACGUGGGUAACCUACCCAUCAGAGGGGGAUAACACUUGGAAACAGGUGCUAAUACCGCAUAACAGUUUAUGCCGCAUGGCAUAAGAGUGAAAGGCGCUUUCGGGUGUCGCUGAUGGAUGGACCCGCGGUGCAUUAGCUAGUUGGUGAGGUAACGGCUCACCAAGGCCACGAUGCAUAGCCGACCUGAGAGGGUGAUCGGCCACACUGGGACUGAGACACGGCCCAGACUCCUACGGGAGGCAGCAGUAGGGAAUCUUCGGCAAAGGACGAAAGUCUGACCGAGCAACGCCGCGUGAGUGAAGAAGGUUUUCGGAUCGUAAAACUCUGUUGUUAGAGAAGAACAAGGACGUUAGUAACUGAACGUCCCCUGACGGUAUCUAACCAGAAAGCCACGGCUAACUACGUG
rnacentral:rRNA from 1 species